rnacentral:rRNA from 1 species
UACGAAGGGGGCUAGCGUUGCUCGGAAUCACUGGGCGUAAAGCGCACGUAGGCGGACUCUUAAGUCGGUGGUGAAAUCCUGGAGCUCAACUCCAGAACUGCCUUCGAUACUGAGAGUCUUGAGUCCGGGAGAGGUGAGUGGAACUGCGAGUGUAGAGGUGAAAUUCGUAGAUAUUCGCAAGAACACCAGUGGCGAAGGCGGCUCACUGGCCCGGUACUGACGCUGAGGUGCGAAAAGCUAGGGGAGCAAACGGG